rnacentral:rRNA from 1 species
UUGACCUCGAUCAGUAGCUCCCAA